GAAAAUUUGCAACAUUUUGAUUAAUAUCCUAGGCAACUUGUAGCUAUUGUGGUAUACAUUUAUGUCGUACGUUUAAAUAUUUCCGUACUGGAUGUUGUAGUUUUUGUAAUUUUUUAAUUUUAAAUUUUGUGAAAGAAAUAUGUGUGAAGAUGGGAUUGGUCUUUUAAGCCUCUAUAUUCUCAUACACGUGGGCAGCUCCAGUCACAGCACAAGUUCUUUGACUCAAACACCCCCCGCCCGUUAAUGGUUGGUCUAUUGUAUGUUGCUAAUCCACACGACAGAGACACUGCCUCCUUUAGUUUUCACCUGAUGAGUUUAAAUCACCACACUUCCUGUUUCAGACCACACCUCUCCUCUGAAGGUGGCAGUAAGCCACAACCAACGACAACACCCCAAACAGCAGGAGAACAGGACACUCUGUCACUCUGGAUCUUGGAUAUUACUGCCUACGACACUUAAGUGAAAGCCAUUGUGGGGAACAUCAGUCACUGAGUAUCAGUGACACUAAUCUACCUGCAGCCAUGGUGUGUGGGGCGGAGGGACUGCAAUCAGCAUGAUGCUCACACCCAAUGAUAAGAGUGCCCCCUGUGGGUCAUGACAAGGUUUCUGCAGAAGGCUUCAGUGGAGUUACAGGCACAGAAGAGAAGAAGUGAAACUUCUGUUGUAUGCACGUGAGCUGAAGGAGAUUUUGAUGCUGUUUCAUCGCCACCUAUCCACCAAGCUGUAUAUCUCACUAUAUUGCUACAUGGCUGAGAACAUACGGAACCCAAAUAGAAAAAAAAGUUAUCCAAAAAGAUGGAGUUUCCCGUGGAUAAUUGAAGAUUAGCCAAAUCAAGCCCAAAGCUUUCUCUAUUUUUUAAUAAUAGUAAAGGUAAAUAUCCAACUUCAGAUUUUUUUUUUUUACCUACCCACUUGCAUUUAUUAAAUACUUUUGACAUUUCAGUGACCAAAUUCCUUUAGGCACUAGGUCCUUCUUGUAUUUUGUACAGCCCUUUUCUCCCUAAACACACUGUUUAUGUGGAGCAGCUGCGGCGGGUCCAUUCAUUUCUCUAAUCAGAGAAACACCGGCUGUAGUCUGUCAUCACAGACAAACUAGUGGGUUGGUCUGCAGACCCCAGGCUUCAGAUCCUAAAGAUCCUAAAGACCGGGGACAGAAGAUGAAGCUGUGAAAAAGAGGAGUACUUAUUUAUGUCUCUGACAAAUUCCAGUUGACGGCAAAAUUAUUCUCAGCAACGCGACGAUAAUCAUGUUAAUUAAACGUCUUUCUCUCUCAUGUUGUCUAAUCCUAGAGCUGGUGGCUGACGGAGGUUUUGAAUGAUGUCUGAGUGGCAGUUGCUAAUUGAGUUUGCAGUUGUUGUGUGGCUAAAAAAGUUUACUUGUAUCAAGUGUGCCUAUUUUGUAUGGCAACCAUGGCAACACGGAGCAUUUCAGUGUAUAUGUUUUGUGUGUGUGUGUAUAUAUAUAGAUAUAGCAAACAUUUAUUUAGUUUUUAUAUAUAAAAUCAUCUCAAGAUAUAUAUAUUUUUUAAUAUGAGUUAUUUUAGUCAAUUAUUGAGUCCAAAAGCUGUGUGUGUGUGCCUCUACAAAUGAGAACUAUGGGAGCAAACACAGCUUCCCUCCCCUCCACUGCCUCUACUACUGUACAGUGACUGAAUGAGGUCACUAACACUGUGAGUCUCUUAGCUGAAUCCCUGCCAACCAUCCACCUUAGCACAGUUCAAGCACCUCUAACCAAGUCAAAUUUAAGCACUUUUCAAACCUUUUCAAGACAUAUUUCUAAACUGGGAAUGUUAGUGUAGACAGUUCUUUGCACAUUUUUAAACUAUUUUUUGGAAAGCUUACUAUUCUGCUCCCCCUUUAGCUUUUCCUUGGCAUAUCGGUUAAGACAGCUUAGCUAUAUUUUAUUGCUGAGUUAGUCUCAUCUAGGCUAUUUUCUUUACACUGUUUGUUAUGUGAAUGUUGGAGUAUUUACCCAACACUACUGCCUUUUAUUACAGUGCAAUGACAAAAUGAGGACACUGAUGCUGUCAUUAGCUUCUCAGCUGGAAUUCUGCCUUCUCCUCUAACUCCUCCCUCUGUCCUUCUAUCGCCUCUAUAUCUCUCACUCCUGCUAUCUUUCUCUCUCCUCUUCUUCCAUGGGGAGGCAGUGGGUUUCGUCAGCUUGGCAUAUGUGUGUCAGAGCAAGUCAACAGACACCAGUGUGAAGAAAAUAUGAAUGCAGCUCGAGAGAGAAUUUAGUUGUGUGUCGCGGUUUCACAGCCAAAAGUCACAAGUACAAAACACUACCAGGCUCCAGCAAGCAAACUGCUUUUAGCCAAGGUGCCAAAGCUUGCAUGGCGUGGGUGAGGAGGGUGAGGGAGGAGGAGUAAAUGAGUCAUCGUUUAAAAACUCCAAGGCUUCUUGCGUCAUAAUUUCAGCUCACGCCUUGUCACAGUCACUUGAAUCACCAGACAGAGAGACACGUGGACAAAUGCUCCACAGCCAAACCAUUUUAAUGCUGCAUUUUGUGGAUCCUGAUUUGAAGGAGCAGCCAACAUUGAUGCCAACAUCUCUGUGUUUGUGCAGGUUUGUCCAAAUGAAGGGUCAUAGUCCAGCUGUUGCAAUAGGUUUAAAGUAAUGUGGCCUGCACAAUGUCUCAAAUUCUUUGUCCUUUUUUCCUGUUGUAAACCAUUUUUGCCAUCAGUCAAGUUAAAGAACAACUUUGUCUUACUUUGACUAUUUAGCUAUUUUUAUCUUCAUUCCAGCUAGCUUACUGGCUAAAUCGUUUGAAUGUAUUUUCGUAUGAAUGACGUCUGGACACAUUUUCAGCAAGUUGAAGCAUAUUUACAUAAUGUUUUGACUUGCAGCUGGUUUUCAUCAGUUUUGACUUGUGGCUGUUUCUGUCAUAUCUUUGAGGCAUUUUUGAAAGUUUUUAUUUUCAUUUGCUAACCCUAAGCUAAUGUCAGGGUAAUGUCUUACCUGCACCCGUUCUUACAGUUACAGGCUUAUUUUAUUAUUAUGUAAAGUUUUUCUGUGUGGAAAGUUGUGCGUACUUGCACUAUUUUAACUCUGUAAUUUGUUAUUUACAAAACUCAGUGUACUGUAUUUGCAUAUAUUUGAUCUUUAAAAGGCCGUAAUGUUAAUAAAUAAUUAUCAGCAAUUCACUU